UGCUGUCAGCAAAAUACAGAUUGUAGUCAUUGUAACAGCUGCAUACAUAUAGGUGAAAGUAGAUUUUAAGCAGCACAUUAGGUAACUUGUUAUAGCUCUACCCCUGAAAAAUCUUUAAUCUCCUUGUCCUUUCUUGGGCUGGGUUUAAAUAGUCAUAAAUUCAAAUUCACUGUAAAACCACACAAAUAACCUAUCAACUAAUCCCAUUUUCUACUCUGUUUCCUUAAUAUGAGUCUUAACAAUUCUGCUUGCCCUGUCCAAUCUCACUCUAAACCACAAAUGGGCUGUGAUGUCACUACUGUCGAUCUGCUUUAAACCUAAGAAGCCCAACACUAAUAGUAUCAAGACCGGCUUGCAAGAGGCCCAAGUGAAUCAUGUGAAAGAGGAUCACAGAGGAAUGUUCUGUUCCCACUGCGAACAAGACAGAAUUAACUCUGAGAUGCUUCCUUCUGUUGCCCUGUUUGUCAGAAAGGUCAAGAUGAUUAGCUCUUGUAUACUCCGAACCAACCGUCAAAACAAAAUAUAUGUUAAAUCCUGAUCUAUUUUAAACAGACAAGACUACGCUCAGGAAGGAUAAUUUAAGAUGCACUUAAGAAGAACAAACAGCAUUUCUCACCCGCGGAUCUCUAAGCACUUUAUAUAUGAUAAUGAAUGAAGCAUUCAACAGCCUUGUGAGGCUUCAAGUCCUUAUUCCAUCAAUACCACCCAAGUUCUCUAAGAGGAUCUCCAAAACACCAAUGAUUAUUUCUAAAGACUCGUGGAGAAUUGGAGAAGUGCCAGAAUAAAGGAGAUCAGUAAAAACUGUACCGAACUCUUGUUCCAAAGAAGAAGGAAGAACAAUCCUAGUCAUUACAACCCAAGCAAAUAUUUGCGAGGUGAAAAUAUUAAUAGAACAAAAUGAGGAAACAUGUGGAAAAGCUGGGAUGAACGAUAAGUAAUAUGGUUUUAUCAAGAAUAUAUUCUGGUGAACAGGAUUUCUUUAUUUGUAUACACAAUUACAAAAAUAAUAAAAUAAUACGGUACAAUGGAAAUUUGUAUUUUUAAACUGUUUAAUAUAAGGUAUUAAACAUUCUCCAUGCAGCAUUAUUUAAUACUGGCUUGGAUAUAAAUAUUCUCAAUACUGUCAAAUACUGAGAACUCACUGUAAGUGAUAAGCAGUGAUAUACUGAGUUGGGUGAACAUAUUCAUUGUAAUACUUCAUGCAGAGUUGUUAGGUAAAAGUCACAUCUUAUUUAACAUAAUUAACGAUAUGAAAGAAGAAUAAAAAGUGCAUUAGUGAAACUUAUAUCUGAUACUUAAUAUUAAAAACUGUUGGACAGAUUUCCAGGAGGCCGGAGAAAUAAGAGAAGAGAGCUAGAAAUAUGAGAAAUGUGGGCAGACAAUACCAUGAGCAGAAAAUGAAAUUCAUCUGAGAAAAAUACAAGAUAAUACUAAGAGAGGAAAACAAUAAGAAAUGCCAAUACUACAUGGGAUGGCAAAACCUAGACUGCUAUAAAGUCAAAAUAGACAUAAAAGUGAUGAU